UUAGUUAAAACCAAAUAGAGGUUUACCACUGUUAAUGGUAAUAUUGAACAAAAUGUUCUAACUAAG
rnacentral:tRNA from 1 species